AUUGAACGCUGGCGGCAGGCUUAACACAUGCAAGUCGAGCGAGCGGCGGACGGGUGAGUAAUGUCUGGGAAACUGCCUGAUGGAGGGGGAUAACUACUGGCAACGGUAUCUAAUACCGCAUACCAUCAGAUGUGCCCAGAUGGGAUGAGCUAGUAGGUGGGGUAAUGGCUCACCAAGGCGACGAUCCCUAGCUGGUCUGAGAGGAUGACCAGCCACACUGGAACGGAGACACGGUCCAGACGCCUAGGGGAGGAAGAAGUGGGGAAUAGUGCACAAUGGGCGCAAGCAGGAUGAAGACAUGCCGCGUGUGUGAAGAAGGCGUUCGGGUUGUAAAGAACUUUAAGCGAGGAGGCGUUACUCGCAGAAGAAGCACCGGCUAACUCCGUGCCAGCAGACGCGGUAAUAC
rnacentral:rRNA from 1 species